GCGCAUGUGCUGUGAGCUCGAUGAGUAGGGCGGGACACGUGGUAUCCUGUCUGAAUAUGGGGGGACCAUCCUCCAAGGCUAAAUACUCCUGACUGACCGAUAGUGAACCAGUACCGUGAGGGAAAGGCGAAAAGAACCCCGGCGAGGGGAGUGAAAAAGAACCUGAAACCGUGUACGUACAAGCAGUGGGAGCACCCUUUGGGGUGUGACUGCGUACCUUUUGUAUAAUGGGUCAGCGACUUAUAUUCUGUAGCAAGGUUAACCGAAUAGGGGAGCCGGAGGGAAACCGAGUCUUAAUUGGGCGUUAAGUUGCAGGGUAUAGACCCGAAACCCGGUGAUCUAGCCAUGGGCAGGUUGAAGGUUGGGUAACACUAACUGGAGGACCGAACCGACUAAUGUUGAAAAAUUAGCGGAUGACCUGUGGCUGGGGGUGAAAGGCCAAUCAAACCGGGAGAUAGCUGGUUCUCCCCGAAAGCUAUUUAGGUAGCGCCUCGUGAAUUCAUCUCCGGGGGUAGAGCACUGUUUCGGCUAGGGGGCCAUCCCGGCUUACCAACCCGAUGCAAACUGCGAAUACCGGAGAAUGUUAUCACGGGAGACACACGGCGGGUGCUAACGUCCGUCGUGAAGAGGGAAACAACCCAGACCGCCAGCUAAGGUCCCAAAGUCAUGGUUAAGUGGGAAACGAUGUGGGAAGGCCCAGACAGCCAGGAUGUUGGCUUAGAAGCAGCCAUCAUUUAAAGAAAGCGUAAUAGCUCACUGGUCGAGUCGGCCUGCGCGGAAGAUGUAACGGGGCUAAACCAUGCACCGAAGCUGCGGCAGCGACGCUGAUGCGUUGUUGGGUAGGGGAGCGUUCUGUAAGCCUGCGAAGGUGGCCUGUGAGGGUUGCUGGAGGUAUCAGAAGUGCGAAUGCUGACAUAAGUAACGAUAAAGCGGGUGAAAAGCCCGCUCGCCGGAAGACCAAGGGUUCCUGUCCAACGUUAAUCGGGGCAGGGUGAGUCGACCCCUAAGGCGAGGCCGAAAGGCGUAGUCGAUGGGAAACGGGUUAAUAUUCCCGUACUUGGUGUUACUGCGAAGGGGGGACGGAGAAGGCUAUGUUGGCCGGGCGACGGUU
rnacentral:rRNA from 1 species